rnacentral:lncRNA from 1 species
CCAUUCAUCCGUUGAUGUCUGGUUGAGUUUUCCUAUUCGUCCAUUGGCGUCUAGUCGUGGUUUCUCUUCCCAUUCAUCAUCUUUCGAUGUCUGGUCGUGGCUUCUUUCUCCCAUUCAUCCGUUGAUGUCUGGUUGAGUCUUUCCUAUUCGUCCGUUGGCGUCUAGUCGUGGUUUCUCUUCCCAUUCAUCAUCUUUUGAUGUCUGGUCGUGGCUUCUUUCUCCCAUUCAUCCGUUGAUGUCUGGUCGAGUUUUUUCCCAUUCGUUCGUUGACGUCUGGUUGUG